GUGGGGAAUAUUGGACAAUGGGGGCAACCCUGAUCCAGCCAUGCCGCGUGAGUGAUGAAGGCCUUAGGGUUGUAAAGCUCUUUCGCUCGCGAAGAUAAUGACGGUAGCGAGAGAAGAAGCCCCGGCUAACUUCGUGCCAGCAGCCGCGGUAAUACGAAGGGGGCUAGCGUUGUUCGGAAUCACUGGGCGUAAAGCGUACGUAGGCGGAUCGUUAAGUCAGGGGUGAAAGCCUGGAGCUCAACUCCAGAACUGCCUUUGAUACUGGCGAUCUUGAGACCGGGAGAGGUGAGUGGAACUGCUAGUGUAGAGGUGAAAUUCGUAGAUAUUAGCAAGAACACCAGUGGCGAAGGCGGCUCACUGGCCCGGUACUGACGCUGAGGUACGAAAGCGUGGGGAGCAAACAGG
rnacentral:rRNA from 1 species